rnacentral:rRNA from 1 species
GACGAACGCUGGCGGCGUGCUUAACACAUGCAAGUCGAACGGAAAGGCCCUGCUUGCAGGGUACUCGAGUGGCGAACGGGUGAGUAACACGUGGGUGAUCUGCCCUGCACUUCGGGAUAAGCAUGGGCAACUGGGUCUAAUAACGGCUAGGAGCCAUUUUUAGUGUGAUGGUUGGAAAGUUUUUUCGGUGUAGGAUGAGCUCGCGGCCUAUCAGCUUGUUGGUGGGGUAAUGGCCUACCAAGGCGGCGACGGGUAGCCGGCCUGAGAGGGUGGACGGCCACAUUGGGACUGAGAUACGGCCCAGACUCCUACGGGAGGCAGCAGUGGGGAAUAUUGCACAAUGGGCGCAAGCCUGAUGCAGCGACGCCGCGUGGGGGAUGACGGCCUUCGGGUUGUAAACUCCUUUCGCUAGGGACGAAGCUUUUUGUGACGGUACCUAGAUAAGAAGCACCGGCUAACUACGUG